rnacentral:rRNA from 1 species
GCUAAAAACCGUAUUUCCCAGAAGGCCAUCUGACCUGGUCUGAUCCCAGAAGCUGAGCAUGGCUGGGCCGGGCUAGCGACUGGGUGGGAGACUGUGUGGGAAUGCCGGGUGCUGUCAGCU